rnacentral:misc_RNA from 1 species
AGCAGCCGCGGUAAUUCCAGCUCCAAUAGCGUAUAUUAAAGUUGCUGCAGUUAAAAAGCUCGUAGUUGAAUUUCGGGAUCAAUAUGUCGGUCGUGCCUCGGUACGUACUGGCUUAUUGGUUUCUCCUUUCUGAAGAACCAUGAUGUCAUUUAUUUGGUGUCGUGGGAAAUCAGGACUGUUACUUUGAAAAAAUUAGAGUGUUUAAAGCAGGCUCACGCUUGAAUACAUUAGCAUGGAAUAAUGAAAUAGGACGUUUGAUUCUAUUUUGUUGGUUUCUAGGAUCGACGUAAUGAUUAAUAGGGAUAGUUGGGGGCAUUAGUAUUCAAUUGUCAGAGGUGAAAUUCUUGGAUUUAUUGAAGACUAACUACUGCGAAAGCAUUUGCCAAGGAUGUUUUCAUUAAUCAAGAACGAAAGUUAGGGGAUCGAAGACGAUCAGAUACCGUCGUAGUCUUAACCAUAAACUAUGCCGACUAGGGAUCGGAUGAUGUUAAUUUUUUAAUGUACUCAUUCGGCG